rnacentral:rRNA from 1 species
AUUGAACGCUGGCGGCAGGCCUAACACAUGCAAGUCGAGCGAGCGGCGGACGGGUGAGUAAUGUCUGGGAAACUGCCUGAUGGAGGGGGAUAACUACUGGAAACGGUAGCUAAUCCCGCAUCCCAUCAGCUGUGCCCAGAUGGGAUUAGCUAGUAGGUGGGGUAACGGCUCACCUAGGCGCCGAUCCCUAGCUGGUCUGAGAGGAUGACCAGCCACACUGGAACGGGGACACGGUCCAGACUCCUACGGGAGGCAGCAGUGGGGAAUAUUGCACAAUGGGCGAAAGCCUGAUGCAGCCAUGCCGCGUGUGUGAAGAAGGCCUUCGGGUUGUAAAGCACUUUCAGCGGGGAGGCGUUACCCGCAGAAGAAGCACCGGCUAACUCCGUGCCAGCAGCCGCGGUAAUUC